AAUCAAGCGCGAAAAGGGCGUUUGGUGAAUGCCUUGGCAGUAAGAGGCGAUGAAAGACGUGAUACUCUGCGAUAAGCCAUGGGGAGCCGAGAAUAGGCCUUGAUCCAUGGAUCUCUGAAUGGGGCAACCCACCUGAUACUGUGUUAUUUUAGCCGUCUAGGCGGCGACGAAUAAUGCAGUGAAACAGGUAUUUCUAGACUGAAUACAUAGGUUUAGAAAAGCAAACCCGGGGAACUGAAACAUCUAAGUACCCGGAGGAAAGGAAAUCAAUUGAUACUCCCCUAGUAGCGGCGAGCGAACGGGGACCAGCCGAGCUGUGAGUGUGGUUAGAAUGCGUUGGAAUGCGCAACCAGAGUGGGUGACAGUCCCGUAUAAGAAGCAUGAUCAGACGUAUUAAGUAGGGCGGAACACGUGAAAUUCUGUCUGAAGAUCGGAGGACCACCUUCGAAGGCUAAGUACUCCUUACUGACCGAUAGUGAACCAGUACCGUGAGGGAAAGGUGAAAAGCACCCCGACGAGGGGAGUGAAACAGUACCUGAAACCGAACGCCUACAAUCAGUUGGAGCCCCCUUGCGGGGUGACAGCGUACCUUUUGUAUAAUGGGUCAUCGACUUGGUCUCACAAGCAAGCUUAAGCCGUUAGGUGUAGGCGCAGCGAAAGCGAGUCUUAAUAGGGCGAUUGAGUUUGUGGGAUCAGACCCGAAACCGAGUGAUCUAGGCAUGGCCAGGUUGAAGGUACGGUAACACGUACUGGAGGACCGAACCCACAUCUGUUGAAAAAGAUCGGGAUGAGCUGUGCCUAGGGGUGAAAGGCCAAUCAAACUCGGAGAUAGCUGGUUCUCUGCGAAAUCUAUUUAGGUAGAGCGUCGACCGAAUACCCUCGGGGGUAGAGCACUGGAUGGGUAAUGGGGCCCCACAGGCUUACUGAUCCUAACCAAACUCCGAAUACCGAGGAGUACUAGUCGGCAGACACACGGCGAAUGCUAACGUCCGUCGUGAAGAGGGAAACAACCCUGACCUACAGCUAAGGCCCCUAAUUCAUGGCUAAGUGGGAAAGCAGGUGGGACGACCAAAACAACCAGGAGGUUGGCUUAGAAGCAGCCAUCCUUUAAAGAUAGCGUAACAGCUCACUGGUCUAAAUAAGUUGUCCUGCGGCGAAGAUGUAACGGGGCUCAAGCCAUGAGCCGAAGCUUAGGAUGCAUUUAUUGCAUGGUAGCAGAGCGUAGUGUGACAUAGUUCCAUGUGUCCUUAUCAUCCUUCGGGGUGAGUUGGACACGCGGAGCUUUCUGUGAAGCGGGCCUGUGAGGGAUCCCGUGGAGAGAUCACUAGUGAGAAUGAUGACAUGAGUAGCGACAAAGAGUGUGAGAGACACUCUCGCCGAAAGUCCAAGGGUUCCUGCUUAAAGCUAAUCUGAGCAGGGUAAGCCGACCCCUAAGGCGAGGCCGAAAGGCGUAGUCGAUGGGAACCAGGUUAAUAUUCCUGGGCCAGAUGGAAGUGACGGAUCAUGAAGGUUGUUCAUCCUUAUCGGAUUGGAUGGGCCGCUAAUUGGUUCCUGGAAAUAGCUCCAUCAUAAGAUCGUACCCUAAACCGACACAGGUGGACUGGUAGAGAAUACCAAGGCGCUUGAGAGAACGAUGUUGAAGGAACUCGGCAAAAUACCUCCGUAAGUUCGCGAGAAGGAGGCCCGGUUCCUAGGCAACUAGGGGCUGGGGGCACAAACCAGGGGGUGGCGACUGUUUAUUAAAAACACAGGGCUCUGCGAAGUCGCAAGACGACGUAUAGGGUCUGACGCCUGCCCGGUGCCUGAAGGUUAAAAGGAGAGGUGAGAGCCUUGAAUUGAAGCCCAGGUAAACGGCGGCCGUAACUAUAACGGUCCUAAGGUAGCGAAAUUCCUUGUCGGGUAAGUUCCGACCUGCACGAAUGGCGUAACGACUUCCCCGCUGUCUCCAACAUCGACUCAGCGAAAUUGAAUUACCUGUCAAGAUGCAGGUUACCCGCGGUUAGACGGAAAGACCCCGUGCACCUUUACUACAACUUCACACUGGCAUUAGGCCGAACAUGUGCAGGAUAGGUGGUGGGCUUUGAAGCAGGGACGCCAGUCCCUGUGGAGCCUCCCUUGAGAUACCACCCUUGUUCUGCUUGAUGUCUAACCGCGGUCCGUUAUCCGGAUCCGGGACCCUGUGUGGUGGGUAGUUUGACUGGGGCGGUCGCCUCCUAAAUCGUAACGGAGGCGCGCGAAGGUUGGCUCAGAGCGGUCGGAAAUCGCUCGUUGAGUGCAAUGGCAGAAGCCAGCCUGACUGCGAGACUGACAAGUCGAGCAGAGUCGAAAGACGGCCAUAGUGAUCCGGUGGUCCCGAGUGGAAGGGCCAUCGCUCAACGGAUAAAAGGUACGCCGGGGAUAACAGGCUGAUACUGCCCAAGAGUCCAUAUCGACGGCAGUGUUUGGCACCUCGAUGUCGGCUCAUCUCAUCCUGGGGCUGGAGCAGGUCCCAAGGGUACGGCUGUUCGCCGUUUAAAGAGGUACGUGAGCUGGGUUUAGAACGUCGUGAGACAGUUCGGUCCCUAUCUUCCGUGGGUGUAGGAUACUUGAGAGGAGUUGCCCCUAGUACGAGAGGACCGGGGUGAACGAUCCACUGGUGGACCUGUUGUUGCGCCAGCAGCAGUGCAGGGUAGCUAUGAUCGGAAAGGAUAACCGCUGAAGGCAUCUAAGCGGGAAGCCCCCCUCAAAACAAGGUAUCCCUGAGAGCCGAGGUAGACCACCUCGUCGAUAGGCCAGAGAUGUAAGCACAGUAAUGUGUUCAGUUGACUGGUACUAAUGGCUCGAUAGGCUUGAUUUG
rnacentral:rRNA from 1 species